rnacentral:rRNA from 1 species
AAUAGAUACCCUGGUAGUCCACGCCGUAAACGGUGGGCGCUAGGUGUGGGGCACUUUCCACGUGCUCUGUGCCGCAGCUAACGCAUUAAGCGCCCCGCCUGGGGAGUACGGCCGCAAGGCUAAAACUCAAAGGAAUUGACGGGGGCCCGCACAAGCGGCGGAGCAUGCGGCUUAAUUCGAAGCAACGCGAAGAACCUUACCAAGGCUUGACAUAUAGGGAAAUCUCAUAGAGAUAUGAGGUCCGCAAGGGCCCUAUACAGGUGGUGCAUGGUUGUCGUCAGCUCGUGUCGUGAGAUGUUGGGUUAAGUCCCGCAACGAGCGCAACCCUCGUUCUAUGUUGCCAGCACGUAAUGGUGGGGACUCAUAGGAGACUGCCGGGGUCAACUCGGAGGAAGGUGGGGAUGACGUCAAAUCAUCAUGCCCCUUAUGUCUUGGGCUGCACGCAUGCUACAAUGGAUGGUACAGAGGGCUGCGAUACCGUAAGGUGGAGCGAAUCCCACAAAGCCAUUCUCAGGUUC